rnacentral:rRNA from 1 species
GGGGAAUAUUGGACAAUGGGCGAAAGCCUGAUCCAGCAAUGCCGCGUGAGUGAAGCAGGCCUUCGGGUUGUAAAGCUCUUUUGUCCGGGAAGAAACGGUUUUGGCUAAUAACCAAGACUACUGACGGUACCGGAAGAAUAAGGACCGGCUAACUCCGUGCCAUCAGCCGCGGUAAUACGAAGGGGGCUAGGGUUGUUCGGAAUUACGGGGCGUAAAGCGCACGUAGGCGGCCUUUCAAGUCAGAUGUGAAAGCCCCGAGCUUAACUCGGGAAAUGCAUUUGAUACUGUUGGGCUAGAGACCGGGAGAGGAUAGCGGAAUUCCCAGUGUAGAGGUGAAAUUCGUAGAUAUUGGGAAGAACACCAGUGGCGAAGGCGGCUAUCUGGACCGGUACUGACGCUGAGGUGCGAAAGCGUGGGGAGCAAA